rnacentral:misc_RNA from 1 species
GAAAUGCGAUAAGUAAUGUGAAUUGCAGAAUUCAGUGAAUCAUCGAAUCUUUGAACGCACAUUGCGCCCGCCAGUAUUCUGGCGGGCAUGCCUGUCCGAGCGUCAUUUCAACCAUCAAGCCCCCGGGCUUGUGUUGGGGACCUGCGGCUGCCCGCAGGCCCUGAAAACCAGUGGCGGGCUCGCUGUCACACCGAGUGUAGUAGCAAUCACCUCGCUCAGGGCGUGCUGCGGGUUCCGGCCGUUAAACAGCCUUACAAAACCCAAGGUUGACCUCGGAUCAGGUAGGAAGGCCCGCUGAACUUAAGC